rnacentral:rRNA from 1 species
UACAGAGGCCACAAGCAUUAAUCGGAAUCACUGGGCUUAAAGGGUGCGUAGGUGGAUUUGUAAGCGUCCUGUGAAAGCCCCCGGCUCAACCGGGGAACAGCAGGGCGAACUACAAGUCUUGAGGAAUGUAUGGGCUGUCGGAACAGUAGGUGGAGCGGUGAAAUGCGUAGAUAUCUACUGGAACGCCGAUGGGGAAGCCGGGCAGCUGGGCAUUUCCUGACACUGAGGCACGAAAGCGUGGGGAGCAAACAGG